rnacentral:misc_RNA from 1 species
GAUGAAGAACGUAGCGAAAUGCGAUACUUGGUGUGAAUUGCAGAAUCCCGUGAACCAUCGAGUCUUUGAACGCAAGUUGCGCCUGAAGCCUCGGCUAAGGGCACGUCUGCCUGGGCGUCACGCAUCGCGUCUCCCCCAAACCGCCAAGGCGGAGGGGAAGGAAGAUGGCUUCCCGUGCCUCACCCGGCGCGGUUGGCCUAAAUUUGGAGCCCGCGGCACUUAGCUCACGCGGCGAUAGGUGGUGAACAAGGCCUUGGCCGUGCAAACAACCCGCUGCGAAGCUCUAUGUCACGUGCGCUCGUCGGACCCUUUGAAGUUGCCUUCGGUGACUUAAAACCUUUGCGACCCCAGGUCAGGCGGGGCUACCCGCUGAAUUUAAGCAUAUCAAAAGCGGAGGA